rnacentral:tRNA from 2 species
GGUGAGGUGGCAGAGUGGUUAUGCGUGGGCCUGCAAAGCCUAUCUAUAGGGGUUCAAAUCCCUUCCUCACCU